CAAAGUAGAUCUUGAUAAAGAAUUUCAUUUACAUUGAAAAGAUUCAUGCUUAAGUGUGAUAUUUUGA
rnacentral:tRNA from 1 species